rnacentral:lncRNA from 1 species
CUUCCUUUAUGCAUCUGGCAAAGACAUGCUCUGAGGCCCUUCCAGCACGUACACUGCUGUCUUUCCUGAUCCACUCCAGCUUCCCAAGAAACACUGGAGAUGAAUAAAUGAUUCACCACGUGGCCAGGACUGCAGCCCUUUCUCUGGAAGAGAAUUCAAGCCCACUUUAUUUAAACCAAGGGGCUACAGACCUGGUGGUGGAGGUCUUCAACCACUGGAAUUCCCUUGGGAGACCAUUAGAAUGGUAUUUUUUUACCCUUUACUUGGCUAUGGGGUUC